rnacentral:misc_RNA from 1 species
UUGAUCGAAGUCCCUUUUCAUCUUGUGUUGCUUUUUGCGACGCAUGAUGAACCUUGAGGCGGUCUCUAUGUUCCACCACGUUGAUGCUAGCGCUUUGAUGUUGUGGCCCAUUGAGUGUUGCUUGGUUUCGUGGAUACAGAACAUGAUUUGGGCAUAGGGUUACUUGUGACUCUUGUUUUGUCCUUUAUCUGUGUUCUUUAUAACGACGGUUCAUGCGCGCCUAGGCUCGUACCUGCGCGAUGUUCUUUGUCGAAGAGGAAUGCUACCUGGUUGAUCCUGCCAGUAGUCAUAUGCUUGUCUCAAAGAUUAAGCCAUGC